UGGCUGCUGGAAUAUGGUAUUUUAGCUGAGAGUUUUGCUGGAAGGCUUGCUGUUGGAAUACUUGCAUUAAUUUUUGGAAGUUUUGUUGGAUACCUUAGCUUGGUGGUUGGAGUUUUAAUUGCUUUUCUUGGAGUUUGAUUGGAAUUUAAUUGUUAUUUUAUACUGUGGGAUCAUUUUUUCAAUUUGAAAUGUUUUAUUAUGUAUUAGUGGUGAUCACAUUGGAGACUAAUUGUAUUUCUUUUAAAAUUAAUUUGUUAGAUUGAA
rnacentral:lncRNA from 1 species